rnacentral:rRNA from 1 species
GGCAACCUGCCGUCUAAGAUGGGGACAACAGGUCCGAAAGGACUGCUAAUACCGAAUCGUUUGUGAGGUUUUCCGCAUGGGGAGACGUCAUUGAAGAUGGCCUCUACUUGUAAGCUAUCACGUUAGAGAUGGGCCUGCGUCUGAUUAGCUGGUUGGUGGGGUAACGGCCCACCAAGGCGACGAUCAGUUAGCCGGUCUGAGAGGAUGAACGGCCACAUUGGGACUGAGACACGGCCCAGACUCCUACGGGAGGCAGCAGUGGGGAAUCUUCCGCAAUGGGCGAAAGCCUGACGGAGCAACGCCGCGUGAGUGAAGAAGGUCUUCGGAUCGUAAAGCUCUGUCGAAGGGGACGAACGUGGGUUCUAUCAACAACGGAACCUAAUGACGGUACCUUUCAAGAAAGCCACGGCUAACUACGUGCCAGCCGCCGC